UUUUGUUAAUUGUUUUGAUUUUUAAUAUAAUUUGAUAUUUUUCAGACCAAAAUUCUUUAUAAUGAAGAGGGUAUAUACAAGUUCACUUCAUUGAAUAAAAAUCUGUCUUUUCAUUUUAGAUAGUGCCAAAAUACAGCAAGCAAUUUCCUUUAAGUAAUUUGGAAGGCAAACCAAACAAGGCGCUGAUUUGCAGAUACUUCCCAUUGUUUUUGUAUGUACUUCUCAACGGCAAUAGCUGCCGCAGGCGUUGACGGCGGAGGUGUCACCAUCAAAACCAUUAGAAACAACACCACCAAGUCAAUGAUGCAAGUGGAAGUUUUGCCAUGUAAUAGUCGACCGCUGACGCCCUUCUCCAUCAAUUAUGUGUAAAGAGUACUACCGGUCUGCAGUUCUGCAAGAGACGCAAUAAAAACAAGAAUGCAAUCGCAGGAAUACUCAAAAAAAUUUCCAACCGUGACUGUAAUUGAGUUUAAAUUUUAAAUCUACAACAAAUCCAUUUAGUUUGGUCCUAAGAAUCACACUGGCUUAACGGUGGCAAUCAUUCGGGGGCAAAUGAGCUGGCCCGACAAGAAUCCCCAAGAAGCCAAACAGAUUCAGAUCAGUCUCUCGGCAGCUACUGACGAUGUCGGCGAGUUGAAUCCAUCGAUUUUCACACAGAAAAUCAACAUCAAAAAAAUCACUACUCGUAGCGGAAGCGAUCUCUGCGUUGUCGACAAUGCGAACCGAAUGUCAUCAAGCCGGAGUACCAACCGGGGCUCUUGCAUUGUAACAGUGUGCGAACAUCAGUGUAAAUGCGAGGCAGCAGCUACUGCUGCCGCCGAAGCUGACACCGCCUACAUAGAAGAGGUAGGUGAUACGAAUGCCGCUUUAGAAGGAACUUGUUGCGACAAUUAUAGUACCACCUAAAUGACGGGAGUCGAAAAUCAUUGAAUUCCUGCAAUUUUAAGAAACUUAAAGGCUGACAAAAUAGAAGCUGAAUUAAAGGAAUUCUUAAUGCCUAUUGAAUCACAAAAGCUUCUGUUUAGAAGUAACUGGCAUCGAUACAAGAAUGCCCCUACCAAUUGCCCUAAUGAUGUUCCAAGAGUUGCUGCGCAAAUAGUAGCGAGCCGGCAACCUUCACGUAGUGAGAAUAUCAGAUUGGAAUUUUCUUCGUAAAAGAAUGAUGGCAAGACUACUUCAAAUUACAAAUCAAAAUAAAGCUUAGUCGAUUUGACUUCUGCCGUUCAGUUGAUUUGACGAUAUGCUAAGAAUCUUUCCGUGAUUAGUAAAGAUUCGUCGUGGCGUACCUAGUUUUUAAGUGAAGUUUUAAUUUUUUCAAAAUUGUAUGUAAUUGGGUAUAAUUUUUGUUUUUAAAAUUCAAUUCCAUUAUAGAUUAUAGGUUUUAAAAUGUAUAUUACAGCUCCCAAAUUGAGUGAAAUUAAAUCUAAGUAUAAAUUGAAAAUAAAGUGAAAUUGUUUUCAGGGUUCUAUCAUUAUAUG